rnacentral:rRNA from 1 species
GACGGAGGAUGCAAGCGUUAUCCGGAAUGAUUGGGCGUAAAGCGUGCGCAGGCGGGCUUUUAAGUCAGGUGUGAAAUCCCCAGGCUUAACCUGGGAACUGCGUUUGGUACUGGAAAGCUAGAGUACGGCAGAGGUGGGUGGAAUUCCACGUGUAGCAGUGAAAUGCGUAGAGAUGUGGAGGAACACCGAUGGCGAAGGCAGCCCCCUGGGCCUGUACUGACGCUCAUGUACGACAGCGUGGGGAGCAAACAGG